rnacentral:rRNA from 1 species
AGCGGCGGACGGGUGAGUAACGCGUGGGCAACCUGCCUUACACAGGGGGAUAACACUGGGAAACUAGUGCUAAUACCGCAUAACAUCAUUUUAUGGCAUCAUGAGAUGAUCAAAGGAGCAAUCCGGUGUAAGAUGGGCCCGCGUCCGAUUAGCUAGUUGGUGAGGUAACGGCUCACCAAGGCAUCGAUGGGUAGCCGGCCUGAGAGGGUGGCCGGUCACACUGGGACUGAGACAAGGCCCAGACUCC